UUUGAAGCAACACCACCUUGAAAUGGUUGUGAAAAAAUGGCGCAUUUUUUUUGAAAUGAGGAAACCAGGCUUAGCAAAGCCUCAUCUCCUCGAAUGGAAACACUCUUAGCUACUGGUCGGGGUAAGAUCCUGAAACUUGAAAUAGUAAUAAAGCAUUAUAAUUUGAAUUUAAAAUCAGCUGAAUCCUUGCCUUUUCUUCUUAAUUUUAUAGUUUGAAUUAGCAUUUUCUAAUUUUUAAUUCCGUUGGGUGAUUAAGUUGAUUUUCAGUACCUAUAAUGGCAACACAUUUAGUUUACCAAUUCCUAAUUUCAUGACCUAAGCCUGAAUUUUUGGAUGUGUUUUAUAGCAUUAUACAUUCUUGAUCUUGACUGAGAUACACAAUUAGUUACUGAAUUUAGAGUUCUUUGUUUUCUAGUUUCAUCAUUCACCCUGCUCAUCAAGAAUUAAUAAGGAUGUAAGACCUGUAUUUGUAACAUUAAAUAACAAUCGAAUAGGUCCAUUACCAGCUUAUCACUUUUAAAAUUAUUUUGAUUUAUCAAUUUAAGUUUUUAUAGUUAUGUAAAAUAAUAUUUUGUUACAGUUAUUUUGUUAAAAUUAAUAGUUUUAUAAUGACUUAAAGUUAUCUAAUAGAUUACUUAGUUUCGCCUUGCAAAAACCCCCGGGGUAUUUAUCAUGUCCAUUGCUUAAAAUUCAGCACUUAAUUAUUAGUUCUAUAGAAAGUCAUUAUAUGUCUAAUUUAAACUUCACUGCAUAAUUCACCUCAAUGAUCAGUUCAGGAAAUAGUUAUCGAAUUUCUCUAACAGGCUGAUAAGUGUACUACACUACUACUAGCAAUGUCUUAUGUUAUGCCAAUGCAUCUGGCUAUCAUUCUUCUCUCAGGGAGGAGUUUGCAUGUGAACAAACAUUUAGGGCUGUCCUUGUUGGUACUUGUUAGAACAUCAACCUUCGACGCGAAAGCAAUUUGCUUAAAGAGUUCUGAGGCUCUAGUUCUUCCAGGAAGAUACUAUCCUCUAUAGUGCCCCCUUUUGCAUAUAGUCUCACUGAAAAUUAUAGGACUUAAUCUAAAUUUCCCACUAGAGGUAGACAGUUCAGAGAUAAUAAAUCUAUUGCUGGAGUUUAGAUACCAAAUUUGAGCUUUCAAUCCAAGUUAAUGGCUACUCAGGGUAUCCAUGAGACUCAGUGGUCAGAUCUUGUUUCCUCUGUGAUUCAGUUAGCAUUCUUAUCCUUGGUUCCUCUAUGAUUCAGGUGCAUUCCUUCCACUUGCUCGCUGAUGAUAUUUUAUUGUAUACAACCGAGUUAUAUACAGAUAAGUACUUUGUUAGUGAGAUGGCUACUCAGUGGCUAUCCAUGAGAUGCAGCAGUCAAAUCUUGUAUCCUCCGUAAUUCACCUAAAGCCUUGGGCAUAGACAAUAUACUAGGCUUUGAUUGGCCGGCAUCUUGAAGAAAUGAUUCGAGCGCUUAAUUCCUUUAUUUGUUGGGUGUGCUUGAUGAUGAUGCUUGACUUCACCAGUUGGAUCUCAAGCAGCAGAGAUCCUACUAAACAGGGCAUUUCAGGCUUAUGAUGGAUGAGUUUCCAGUGGCUGUAUGCCCUGGCAGUUGCAAUGGCCUUUCUUUCCAUUGAGAAAAGAAAAAGAAAAAAGAAGGAUCCAUUGAUUUCAAAAAUAAUAUCAUCUUCCCACCAACUUGGAUGUUCUGAGGAGAUCAUUACCAAUGUUGCUGUUCUCUCCCUUCAGGCACAAUGUGGAAAAGUUUCUUGCUGGAAUAAAGUUUGAAGUAAUUGCGAUAUGUUCAUUGAUGGUAAAUUGUUUAAUCCAUGGAAAGUUUGAAUCAAAUUUCUUAUGAUAGCAAUUGAGAAACAAUAAUCAAAUGCUAUAAUUGUUAUUAAUCGAUGUUAGUUUUAUAUGACACCAACAUGUUAAAUGCAUACAAAUAUUGGUUUUCGAACAAAGGAUCAAUUUACCCCCUUACGAAAUAUCAAAAAGUCAUUUUGAAUGAUUUUGGAUCAAACAGACCCCCAACUAUGUCAAAGUGCAUUAAAUCGGCCAUUGUUCCAUCCUCGCCCAUUCUCGAUCUGCAUUUGAAACACACUCUCCUGGUUAAAAGUCAAAAAUAGUCCUUACUAUUUUAAAAAAUUACAAAUUAAUACCUAAACAAUAAAAAAUUAACACUUUAAUUUUUUUUUUACAAAAAUUUCUCCUCCUCAGCUCCUCGUCAGGGGAGGAGCACUGCUCCUCACCUGAGGAGCUGUUGCUCCUCAACGAGGAGCUCUCUGGUGCUCCUCGUCCAAGGAGCAUUGCUCCGCCGUGAAAGGAGCAGACCCAUCUGGGUCUGCUCCUUCAACGAAAAUAAAAUAAAAAAAUUCAGUUUAAAAAAAAUCCGGUGAAAAAAAUAUUCCGACAACGGUUUUCGGUGUGAGUGGAGGGUUAAAUUGACUUAGUUUUACAUAUUUUAAGAGGGGAGGGGAGGGUGAUAACUCACUUUUUUUGGGUGUUUUUAAUACAAAAAUACAAAUUGCGGGUUAGUUUGACCCAAAAGCCUUUAAAAUGACUCUUAUGAUAGUUCGUGCCAAAUUAAGGCGGUGCAUUGAUCCUUUGUUCGUUGAUUUUCAUAUGCUAAAUCUUUUAAAAUUGCUGAAGAUGAUGAAUUCUUGAUUAUUAACAGUGCAGUUAACCUAUUAACUUUUGUAGUGUGAGUUAAGUAAGAAUUUCUCUAACAUAUAAGCAAGAGGACAUGAACAGAUCACCAGCUUACAAUGGAUGGAAAACAAAGCCAAAUUACAAUUUUGUCAUCUCUCCUUAUGUUUGUCAUAUCCGCGACAUAAACACUUAUGCAUCCCCUCAAUGAAGAAUUCUUAUUGAAGUAUCACAACGAAUGGUUGGCUCUACAUGGACGUCUCUACAAAGAUGCAGAUGAGAAGCAGAACAACACAUGGUGUUUAAGGAGAAUGUUCGACAUAUAGAAGCUUUUAACAAUGGCGUCCACCGCGGAUACAAGCUUGGUGUGAACAAGUUUCUGAUAUUUCUGAUGACGAAUUCCGCUCUAUACAUCACAGUUAUAUGAAUCAAAUUCUUCAGAACCAUCAAUAUUUUCCAAUAACUGUUAAUAUAAACAUUUGUUAAUAUAAAUGUGAUUGAGAGCCCGUGAGAUGGCUCGUAAUUGAUGAGCUCAAUUAAGAGCUCACGAGCUUGCUCCUAUAUUAACCCGAUUAUAAAA